rnacentral:misc_RNA from 1 species
UCCGUGUUGACCACGGCAGUCCCGCUAGAGUCCCCGGCAUGACCCGUUGGCAACUAACGGCAAGGGUUUCGCUCGUUAAGGGACUUAACCCAACAUCUCACGACGCGAGCUGACGACAGCCAUGCAGCACCUGUGUUCUGGUUCCCGAAGGCACUCCUCGAUCUCUCAAGGAUUCCAGACAUGUCAAGGCCAGGUAAGGUUCUUCGCGUUGCAUCGAAUUAAACCACAUACUCCACCGCUUGUGCGGGCCCCCGUCAAUUCCUUUGAGUUUCAGUCUUGCGACCGUACUUCCCAGGCGGCGAACUUAACGCGUUAGCUUCGAUACUGAGUGCCAAGUUGCACCCAACAUCCAGUUCGCAUCGUUUAGGGCGUGGACUAC